ensembl:snRNA U6 U6 spliceosomal RNA
GUGCCCGCUUCAGCAGCACCUAUACUAAAACUGGAACGAUACAGAGAAGAUUGAGCAUGGCCUCUGCACAAGGAAGACAGGCAAAUUCGUGAAGCAUUCCAUAUUUCU